UACACAUACUCACAAACACACAACAGAAAGACUCAACAUGGUUACUGCUCUAAUUACUGCCAUACUGUUGUAUUUCACAGGUUCUGGUGUUUGUAGUGUCAUCCAGGAUCCUUCUGAUCUCAUAAAAAUUAAAGACGAAAUUGCUGAGAUUGAAUGUGCGCACACUAAACAAUACUAUGAUCGCAUACUGUGGUACAAACACAGCCAGGACACAGGAUUUACAUUAAUGGGAUACCUUUUAAAUAAUGCUCCAAAUCCAGAGGAAGAUUUUAAAAUGAAGAUCAAGCUGAAGGGUGACGGGAGAAACAAUGCCUCUUUGACCAUUAACAAUGUUUCAGUGAACGACAGUGCUGUGUAUUUCUGUGCAGCUUAUUACACAGUGCUCUAUAUUAGCUCAUUUCACUACAAAAACCUUCAUCUGAUCUACAUUACCCCCAAACCAGAACACCUGGAGAUAACUGAUCCAGUAUGUGCAAUUCUGACUGGCAUGAGAUCUGACUGA